UACCGGUCCGUACUGGUUUAUACUGGUCCGUACUGGUCCGUACUGGUUGCAGGUGCUGUCCCGCUGCCUGUCCCGGCUGUCCCAGCUCUGCUCCCUGCGCCUGCUCCAGGCUCACCUGGACAGGGGGAGGGGCCAAUACCUGCAGGUGAAGGGCGGGGCCUCGCUGCUCAAAGCCAGGCUGGAGGAGCUGCGGGUGCUGUUGGACACUUACCCCUCCCCCACCAUCCAGGCCCACCAGCGAAUCAGGGCGCUGCUCUCCGAGUCCCGCCGCGCUGCCGAGGCCCAAGCCGCCAUCUUGGGGGCGGAGCUUGCGGCCCUGCGAGCCUUGGGCCCGGAAUUCCGGAAGCUGGCGCUGGAAUUGGGGCAAAUCCGUCAGGAAUCGGCUCAGAAGCGCUGGGCCCUCCUCCAGCUCCGCCCCACGCCCCCGUGACGUCACAGCAGCUCAUUAAAAUACCGCUGGCACCGCCCACUUCUGCGUCUUUCA